rnacentral:rRNA from 1 species
UACCAGCACCCCGAGUGGUCGGGACGUUUAUUGGGCCUAAAGCAUCCGUAGCCGGUUCUACAAGUCUUCCGUUAAAUCCAACUGCUUAACAGGUGGGCUGCGGAAGAUACUAUAGAGCUAGGAGGCGGGAGAGGCAAGCGGUACUCGAUGGGUAGGGGUAAAAUCCGUUGAUCCAUUGAAGACCACCAGUGGCGAAGGCGGCUUGCCAGAACGCGCUCGACGGUGACGGGAUGAAAGCUGGGGGAGCAAACCGGAUUAGA